CGCUCAGGACGACCUGAGCGUGGCCUGGUAGUCGCGGGGACGACCCUG
rnacentral:ncRNA from 1 species